CAGUCGCCGCGGGAAUACGAAGGGGGCUGGCGUUGCUCGGAAUGACUGGGCGUAAAGGGCGCGUAGGCGGCUUGUACAGUCAGAUGUGAAAUUCCCGGGCUCAACCUGGGGGCUGCGUUUGAUACUUGGUUGCUUGAUGGGGGAAGAGGGUCGUGGAAUUCCCAGUGUAGAGGUGAAACUCGUGGAUAUUGGGAAGAACACCGGUGGCGAAGGCGGCGACCUGGUCCUUUACUGACGCUGAGGCGCGAAAGCGUGGGGAGCAAACAGGAUUAGAUACCCGAGUAGUCCCUGUCUCUUAUAC
rnacentral:rRNA from 1 species